CUAUGUCUGCAGCUCUGGGAGAAUAGCUUUUCUUAUGUAUGGUCUUUCUCUCCUAAGGACUGACACUGUAGAGCCUGAACAAUGGGCUUGAGACUGAAUGUCAUUUUCAUUCUGACUAUUUUACAAGGUGUCCAUUGUGAGGUUCAGCUGGUAGAGUCUGGGGGUGAUGUGAGACAGCCUGGAGGAUCUCUUAGCCUUUCCUGCAAAGGUUCUGGAUUCACCUUCAGCAGCAAUGGCAUGGACUGGGUCCGCCAGGCUCCAGGCAAGGGGCUGGAGUGGCUCGCAUAUAUUAAUGCUAAGGGAGAAACCACAUACUAUGGAGACUCUGUGAAAGGCCGAUUCACCAUCUCCAGGGACAACAGCAACAGCAUGCUGCACCUGCAAAUGAAUUCUCUGAAAACUGAGGACACAGGCAUAUAUUACUGUGCAAGAGACACAGUGAGAAAAAGGAACAUGAGAACAGACAUAAACCCCCUCAUUCAGAUAGGCCUUGUGGAGAAUGACUUACAGAGGGAACUCAACAGCAUCCAGCACAAGGAGACUACUUAG